ensembl:lncRNA
UUACAUCAAAUAAUGAGUGUUUGGAGCUUUGGAACAAUGCCUGUAAUCAAUUACUUUUCAAAAGUUAACUUUUGACAUUCUGAACUAAAUGUUGUUUGCAAACAUUCAGGGAUAGAAUUGCGUCUAGUCAUGCUCCAAAUUCUUUGUGUAAUUAAAAAGUAGCUAUAAAUUUGCCACAUCAGCAGAAACAUUUGAAGAAAAACCCAAGGGUGACUGGUGGUUUGACAACACCGUGUAUUUUAUUGUUCUCAGAUAUUGUCGAUAGCAGAAGCAGGAUGAUGUCUCCCGAUUAUCCCAGUGCCUGCUUUAAGGCUUUGUAGGUAAGGUCUUAGUGGGACUCCGAGCAAUCCACCCCUUCCUACUUUUCAGAUCUCCUUGGAGCAAGCUGCUCAUCUGGAAUGAUCCUGAUGUUGUGGAACAUCUGGCCAGCUUUGUGCUUCUGCUCCUGUUCCAAACACGACACCUUCCUGCCUCUGGAAUGUGCUGUUCAGCCUCUUCCUUACACCUUGGAUUCUGCUUUAUGACAUCCUUCCAUUACCUGGCAGCUUAUAUCCAAGAGGAUGGGGUUGGCUGGUAGAAGGGGCGGGGGCCAAGGAUAGGCACUUGAAAGGCAAACUCACAUGGGCCUCGUACCGGGAGUAGUGGUAGAGGCAACAAGGCAGCUUGUCUUGCUGGGAAGAAAGGUACCACCUUUGAGAUGAGAUGAGAUGAGGAGGUGGCACGAUGGUUUCUAUCACUGAGAGGGAGAGGAAGACGGGAGCCUUGUAUGGACCUAGCUCAUCACAUGGCCCUUCCCGGAUGUGGCAAGUCCUGGCAGCUGCUGCUCCUCCUAGUAGCCCACCUCUGGAGUGCUUGUUUCAAGGCGAUCCACAGUCAAACAGAUCAUGAAAUUAAGAUCACACUAGAACCACCAAGACCUAGAGUGGGACACAAUAUUACCCUCAUUCCAGGAGGAUAUGUGAAGGACAUAGGGAUUUGCUUCUGGCUCCGAGGUGGGAAGGAGGAAAGGCAUCGUAUUUUCACUUAUUUUCCUGCUCCCCAUUUUAUACAACGAGAGGGACCCGCCUCCACCGGNNNNNNNNNNNNNNNNNNNNNNNNNNNNNNUAUUUUCACUUAUUUUCCUGCUCCCCAUUUUAUACAACGAGACGGACCUGCCUCCACUGGACGAGAGACUCCAGGAGAAGGCUGCUCGAUGCACAUCUGUCAGCUGAUGGCUGAAGACAGCGGAAACUAUACUGUGUUAAAGAAUAAACUCAGAGGAUCUGAUGAACAUCAAGAAGGACAUAUAUUCUUAUCAGUCUCAACUGAAAAUCAAGAAGAACCAAAAAGUACAAAAGUUCAUCAUUUCCCUUGGAGUAUUUUUCCAGGAAUUACCCUUGGAUGUCUUCUUGGGUUGAUUCUCACAGGAGGAUUGGUUUAUUACCGACACUUCAGAGCAUCAUCCACGCAAGAUACAGCAAAAGAGGAAGCAUUGCAUAGCCCUAACAGCUCACAUUCUGGAAGCAACCCAGCUCAACAGGAAAAGGAUAUUGUGCCUCUUUCCCCCUGAUGUACUAGAUUUCUUCUUGUGGUGAGUUCUUCUUUUAUUUCAAUGCCAAGGAGCAAUCAAACAUGGUUUCUUCAUUUUGCCCUUAAUCUUCUACUGUAGAAGAUCUCAAGCCAUGAACGUUGAAAGCCAGAGUGUCCUACAUUCAGUUUCUAAAUUUGGACCUUGGUACGAGACCAGUGACUUGACUUUAAGGAGGUUCCCUGGCAGAAAAACUCGGGUUUGACCUUGACUUUCCAAGAAGAGUGGCCUCAAGGUGGUUAGAAAAGCAGCUUUCCAGACCCCUGAAAUAGGGAGAGUGAGAUAUAAGGAAGGACCUAUGUGUUUUUCAUGAUCUGAUGCUUAGUGUCUCUUUGUUCUAGGUAGCCAUGGGGAAGAUCAUCCCACUUUAGGAUACUGUCAGCUUUCAAGUUUAGAACAAGCACCGCUGGACUUUUUCGCCUGCCCUGAAGAAGAAAUAUCAAAAAGAAAUAUCAAGCACAUCCACUGCAGAGAUGAUCAGUAGAGGCAUUACCUCCUCCUGUCACAGCUGCUGAUGAAAUAAAAAACACCAUUGCUUUUUUCUAGGAGGGUCA